rnacentral:lncRNA from 1 species
AGAUUAGAAACUUUUUAUCCUCAAAAUCGAACCUGAACCUCAUAUGUAGUGCUAGCUAGACAUAGUCAACUCUUCAAUCCCAUUUGAUCCAUAACUUAAUUCUCAAUUAAGUUAGCUUAUAUGUUCAAUCAAGUCAAGUACUUCCAAAUUAGACAUAUAAAUGUAGGUCGAUUUCUUCCUACUUUCUCUGACUUAUGUGCGUGACUCCGUAGGUUCAAACACUAAGCCGGUAGUA